GUCACUGUUCGACAACGAUCCCUCAGCCAUGUUUCAAGGUUCAAACCGCGCCGGCGAAAUGACAACUACAUAUGAUAUUGGAGUCGUCGCGAUUUUGACAUGUCAAGAGAAUUAUUUUUUACACAAUACACAUCACACACCGCGAAAAUACGCGCGUUCGAUGGCGCGCGCGGGACCGCAUCAGGAUCAACGACCUAAGAAAGUGAUAUAGGUUAGGUUGAGGAAACAUGAAUCCGAUAUGCAUCUAGUCCACAUGCAUCUAGUCCACAUUUUUACAUACGAUCUGCCUUCAAUCGACUAUUUCUGGAAAAAUCAAUUUUGUGGGUAUUAAUUAGAUUUAGCUGAGAAGCUGACUUAAAACAUAGAUGAAUUAAAAGACCCAUUUUUGGAUGGAACAAAUAGAAAAUAUCAGAUUUUCCUCGAUCCGUCCGCUCUUUUCGCGCAAUGAGGAUCGUCGAUUCGUUCGCGAGGAUGCUUUAUCGACGCGAUGCGGCUCUUUGGCGGCGAGCGAGAUGAAGCUAGGCGAAGCGAAGCGAGAGACGAACGACGAGUGAUGAGACGAGACGCGGAGGUGGCGAGGAGAGGUGCUCGCGCGAUUCCUGGCAACCGGUUGCCAAGGGCCAUGCGAGGUCCUCGCGCCGCUCCUGCACUCGCCGCCUCGUCGUGGGUGGCUACCGUGACGUCCUAAUCCUGCCGCGAGUCCCUAGGGGCGAGAUCGAUACACACCGUGAUCCGUUUCCCUUUCCCUUUCCCUUCCUCUCUCUCUCUCUCUCUCUCUCUCUAUUUCUCUAUCUAACUCUCUUUCUCCUCUUUCUACCCCUCUUGUUUUCGCGCGCGAUGGGUUAGGCACUCAUCGAUCUCGAGUCGGCGAACUUGUCGGAGACAAAAAAAAAAGGGGGAAAAAACAUGGGAAAACCCGUCCUCCACUGAAAAUUGGCCCGCGAUAACGUCUCGUCCUUCGAUUCGUGAAAAAUUGCAACAUGUGUGUGCUCGGAUUUAGGAAAUAUUUUAAUCAAAGUACACACUUGUCGGGGUGUAUUAGCGAUAAACUAAGUCGAGACGAAAUAACUAAGAUCAAAAACGUCUGUCAUUAAUAUGUUAAUUUGUACUUUUUAUUUAAUUUUGCAAAACUUAUAAUUUUUUUUAAUGAUUCUUCUCCAAACUUAUUCUCAAAUUUUAGUCAUCUCAUUGCGCCGAGAUGACUAAAAUUUUCAGUUUUUAGUUACAGCUAUGUCUUGUAACACUGACAAUUUCUUGUACUACUUAAAGCCAUUAAGAAUAUGCGAUUUUAAAAGAUCUAUCUUUCUAUUUGCAAAAUCUAUCUCUUGAAUGUACUUAUUAUAUUUUAGUUUUGUUUACAUACAUAAUGUACAAAAAAUUGUACAUUUUAUUUUUCAGUUAAAGAGGGAUAAAUUUAUUAUAUGUAAUUAAACACAAUUUGUAAAAAAGAACUCGAUAUCAAGGGCUAAUAUUUAUACAUUGAUAAUAUUUGAUAUGACAAGUUUUUAACGCGAAUUCAGAGAAACACUUUUGCAAAUUUUUCAAAAUUUAUUCACAGAUUCUAAACACUUUUCUCAAGAAUUUUUAGAAUAAAUUGUUAGAAUCCGAUCUCUCGAAUCCUCAGAACAAACCACAAAGUCCUUUCUUACCAAUUUCGACCAAUCGUCACUUUGCGUCCUCUUUCUGCAACUCGUAGGUUUUCGUCUGCCAAAGAAGAGGGAUGAGAGGAGGAAGGGCAAGGUUUGACCUUUUCGAGGGGAUAACGGGAUGGGUAGGACAAGGGUAGUUCGACGGCUGUCUUUUGGGGCAUCGGCCCUUGCCUCGCCGAGGGAGGGUGAGCAGGGGCGGACGAGGAGGACCUACGCGUUAUUGAGCGGCCAUUUCCCACAAAGCGCAGACGAGGGCAACCACCCCGACGAAGCGCGCGGAGUCCUCUUCUCUCUCUCUCUCUCUCUCUCUCUCUCUCUCUCUCUCUCUCUCUCUCUCUCUCUCUCUCUCUCUCUCUCUCUCUUUGCCCCUCCGCCCUCUUUUCACCCCGACCUCUCUAUCCUCCGCUCUCGUCUUUUCGUCCCUUUGCGCGUCACUCUCCCUUCGGUCUAUUACAGACGAGAGAACCUUUCCGAGACCUCGGAUAAUGCACCACCUUCAUCGACGCAUCUUUGAAAACGGUGGAUUUCUUAAGUUCUGUUCUAGAGAUAUGACACGUAGGCAAUAAAUAACAAGGGUUUACAAAAAUACGAGGAAAAGAUUUCAAAUGGAUCACAAGAAUUUGAGGAAAAGAUUUCAAAUGUAUCUUAUCUUUACCUUUAUCUUUGUCUUAAUCUGCGUCUUAUCUUUGGAAAUUUAUUUUAAAUUUUUAUUAAGAAAGCAUUGAUUUCUAAAUAGAAAAAAAAAAAUUUGGAAUCAAGUAGGCAUUGCUCAAUGAUAAUGAUAAAGAUAAGAGUAAAAAUUCAGUAAAUAAUGA